rnacentral:sRNA from 1 species
GUUACUUAACACCUAACAACAAACUGUUGUUCCUGCUGUGGAAGUUGACUAUUGAAUGAGUUAGGUAUUGGAGCAUCUCACAGGAUCCUGUGAUAAUCUACCCAAGCAGCCUGUGAGAAAAGGAAAAGAAAGGGAAACAGAAAAGGAUAUAACCUGGAAUUAAAGAACAAUCUAGCUGGUUUCGGUGGCUCACACCUGUGAUCCCAGCACUUUGGGAGACCGAGUCAGGCAGAUUGUGUGAGCCCCAGGAGUUCGAGAUUAGCCUGGGCAAUAUGGCAAAACCCCACCUCUACAAAAAGUACAAAAAUUAGGUGGGUAUGGUGGUGUGUGCCUGUAGUCCCAGCUACUCGGGAGGCUGAGGUGGGAGGAUCACCUUAGCCUGGGGAGGUCGAGGUUGCAGUCAGUGAGCCGUGAUGGUACCACUGCACUCCAGCCUGGGUGACAGUGAGACCCUGUCUCAAAAAAAGAAAAAAAAAAAAGAUUAUUGCUGAUUUCAGUUCUGGGAGGAGGUUCCCAAAAAGUUUAAUAUUAAUACUUAGGCAGUAUCUUUUGGAGCAGGAAUAUGCAAGACAAAUUAUAGAUUUUUCUGAUUGUAGGGAUGCAAUAGAUGAAGAAUCAAGAACUUCAGAGAUUUAGAAACAUUUGCUUAGUGUGACCUGGGAAUUUGAAACAGAACUGUUCUGAAUUAACGGCUGCAGUUGGGAGUUUUCUCAGCAGAUGUCUGAGAUGUGGGUAGUAUCUGGAUCCCACGUAGAGUCCAUUCUCAUUUCUUUCACGUUGCUGACUUUCUUCCAGACCUCUAUUGCUGAGUGCUUGACAUACCUUGAUAAUGGUGUUGUGUUUGUCGGGUCUCGCUUGGGUGACUCCCAGCUUGUGAAGCUCAACGUUGACAGUAAUGAACAAGGCUCCUAUGUAGUGGCCAUGGAAACCUUUACCAACUUAGGACCCAUUGUGGAUAUGUGCGUGGUGGACCUGGAGAGGCAGGGGCAGGGGCAGCUGGUCACUUGCUCUGGGGCUUUCAAGGAAGGUUCCUUGCGGAUCAUCCGGAAUGGAAUUGGAAUCCACGAGCAUGCCAGCAUUGACUUACCAGGCAUCAAAGGAUUAUGGCCACUGCGGUCUGACCCUAAUCGUGAGACUGAUGACACUUUGGUCCUCUCUUUUGUGGGCCAGACAAGAGUUCUCAUGUUAAAUGGAGAGGAGGUAGAAGAAACCGAACUGAUGGGUUUCGUGGAUGAUCAGCAGACUUUCUUCUGUGGCAACGUGGCUCAUCAGCAGCUUAUCCAGAUCACUUCAGCAUCGGUGAGGUUGGUCUCUCAAGAACCUAAAGCUCUGGUCAGUGAAUGGAAGGAGCCUCAGGCCAAGAACAUCAGUGUGGCCUCCUGCAACAGCAGCCAGGUGGUGGUGGCUGUGGGCAGGGCCCUCUACUAUCUGCAGAUCCAUCCUCAGGAGCUCCGGCAGAUCAGCCACACAGAGAUGGAACAUGAAGUGGCUUGCUUGGACAUCACCCCAUUAGGAGACAGCAAUGGACUGUCCCCUCUUUGUGCCAUUGGCCUCUGGACGGACAUCUCGGCUCGUAUCUUGAAGUUGCCCUCUUUUGAACUACUGCACAAGGAGAUGCUGGGUGGAG